GGACUCGUGGCUUAGCUAGGAUAAAGCACCGGCCUUCUAAGCCGGGAAUCGCGGGUUCGAAUCCCGCCGGGUCCG
rnacentral:tRNA from 1 species